rnacentral:rRNA from 1 species
ACGAACGCUGGCGGCAUGCCUAACACAUGCAAGUCGAACGCCCUGGUUCGCCAGGGAGUGGCGCACGGGUGAGUAACGCGUGGGAACCUGCCCGGCAGUACGGGACAACCGCGGGAAACUGCGGCUGAUACCGUAUACGGCCUGAGGGCGAAAGAAGUUCGCUGUCGGAGGGGCCCGCGUCGGAUUAGGUAGUUGGUGGGGUAACGGCCUACCAAGCCUGCGAUCCGUAGCUGGUCUGAGAGGAUGAUCAGCCACACUGGGACUGAGACACGGCCCAGACUCCUACGGGAGGCAGCAGUGGGGAAUAUUGGACAAUGGGCGCAAGCCUGAUCCAGCAAUGCCGCGUGAGUGAUGAAGGCCUUAGGGUUGUAAAGCUCUUUCGCCCGCGACGAUGAUGACGGUAGCGGGAGAAGAAGCCCCGGCUAACUCCGU